rnacentral:ncRNA from 1 species
CACAGGUUUGGUCCCAGCCUUACUGUUAGCCCCCAGUAAACUUACACAUGCAAGCAUCCACAUCCCGGUGAGAAUACCCUCCAAGUCAACAAGACUAAGAGGAGUGGGCAUCAAGCACACGCUCGUAGCUCAUGACGCCUUGCUUAACCACACCCCCACGGGAGACAGCAGUGACAAAAAUUAAGCCAUAAACGAAAGUUUGACUAAGUUAUAUUAAUUAAGGGUUGGUAAAUUUCGUGCCAGCCACCGCGGCCAUACGAUUAACCCAAGCUAACAGGAGCACGGUGUAAAACGUGUUUAAGCACUUCAUCGAAUAGAGUUAAAAUUUAAUUAAACUGUAAAAAGUCAUAAUUACAAUAAAAAUAGAUAACGAAAGUAACCCUACAAUAGCUGAUACACUAUAGCUAAGACCCAAACUGGGAUUAGAUACCCCACUAUGCUUAGCCCUAAACAUAAAUAAUUAAUGAACAAAAUUAUUCACCAGAGUACUACCGGCAAUAGCCCAAAACUCAAAGGACUUGGCGGUGCUUUAUACCCCUCUAGAGGAGCCUGUUCUAUAAUCGAUAAACCCCGAUAAACCUCACCAAUCCUUGCUAAUACAGUCUAUAUACCGCCAUCUUCAGCAAACCCUUAAAAGGAACAAAAGUAAGCACAAUUACAACACAUAAAAACGUUAGGUCAAGGUGUAACCUAUGGAGUGGGAAGAAAUGGGCUACAUUUUCUAAUUCAAGAAUAACUCAAUACGAAAGUUAUUAUGAAACUAAUAACCAAAGGAGGAUUUAGUAGUAAACUAAGAAUAGAGCGCUUGGUUGAAUUAGGCCAUGAAGCACGCACACACCGCCCGUCACCCUCCUCAAGUAACUACGGCACACUCAAAACUAUUACACAUGCCAAGCAUAUGAGAGGAGAUAAGUCGUAACAAGGUAAGCAUACUGGAAAGUGUGCUUGGAUAAAC